UACAGAGGGGGCAAGCGUUGUUCGGAAUUACUGGGCGUAAAGGGCGCGUAGGCGGCCUGUUAAGUCAGACGUGAAAUCCCUCGGCUCAACCGGGGAACUGCGUCUGAUACUGGCGGGCUUGGAUUCGGGAGAGGGAUGUGGAAUUCCAGGUGUAGCGGUGAAAUGCGUAGAUAUCUGGAGGAACACCGGUGGCGAAGGCGGCAUCCUGGACCGACAUUGACGCUGAGGCGCGAAAGCCAGGGGAGCAAACGGG
rnacentral:rRNA from 1 species